rnacentral:rRNA from 1 species
UGGUCAAGUUACCAAGGGUCUAUGAAGGAUGACUUGGUUAAAUAAGGCGAUGAAGGACGCGGUAAGCGGCGAUACUGCUCGGGGGAGUUGCAAACAAGCUUUGAUCCCGGGAUUUCCGAAUGGGACAACCCAUCAUGAGUUAUGUCAUGAUAUCCUGUCUUGAAAUUCAAAAUAGGGAUAGGAAGCGAUACCCGGGGAAGUGAAACAUCUCAGUACCCGGAGGAAAAGAAAACACAGUGAUUCCCUUAGUAGCGGCGAGCGAAGGGGGAAGAGCCUAAACCUUUGGCACUUGUGUCAAAGGGGUUGCGGGACUUCAAUAUGAUAGACAGAGAGAUAGCGGAAUUAUCUGGAAAGAUAAGCUAUAGAGAGUGAUAGCCUCGUAUGCGAAAUCUCAAAGUCGUCUAGAAGUAUCCCAAGUACUACGGGGCACGGGAAAUCCUGUAGGAAUCUGGGCCGACCAUGGUCUAAGGCUAAAUACUAAAUUUAAACCGAUAGUGUACAAGUACCGUGAGGGAAAGUUGAAAAGAACCCCGGGAGGGGAGUGAAAUAGAACCUGAAAUCAUAGAUCUACAAGCUGUCUGAGCUCUAUGUUCCGGACUUGUCCGGAAAACGAGCGAGGGCGUACCUUUUGUAUAAUGGACCGGCGAGUUAUUGUAUGGUGCAAGCUUAAGGUGUUAUGCGCCGAAGGCGUAGCGAAAGCGAGUCUGAAUAGGGCGUUUAGUACCAUAUAAUAGACCCGAAACUGAGUGAUCUACCCAUGGCCAGAGUGAAGUUUCGAGAAAUCGAAAUGGAGGCUCGAACUCAUCAGCGUUGAAAAACUGUGGGAUGAGCUGUGGGUCGGAGCGAAAGACUAAUCAAACUCAGUGAUAGCUGGUUCUCCCCGAAAUAGUUCUAGGACUAGCCUCGUAAAAUGGAUGAUGGGGGUAGAGUGCUGAAUGGGCUAGGGGCCCUACCAGGCUGCCAAACCCAACCAAACUCCGAAUACCAUCACACCUUAUUACGGGAGUCAGACUACGAGGGAUAAGCCUCGUGGUCGCGAGGGAAACAGCCCAGACCGCCAGUUAAGGUCCCUAAACAUAGCCUAAGUGGUAAAGGAUGUGGAUUCACUUUGACAACCAGGAUGUUGGCUCAGAGGCAGCCAUCAUUUAAAGAGUGCGUAACAGCUCACUGGUCGAGUGAUUCUGCGCCGAAGAUGAUCGGGGCUUAAGGCUAUUACCGAAACUGCGGCUUUUAUCAAAUUUAUUUGAUGAAGGGGUAGGGGAGCGUUCUGUUCUAGGUUGAAGGCGUACCGUAAGGAGCGCUGGACGAGACAGAAGUGAUUAUGCCGGUAUGAGUAGCGAAAAUCACGGCGAGAAACCGUGACGCCGGAAAUCCAAGGUUUCCUGGGGAAGGUUAAUCCGCCCAGGGUUAGUCGAUCCUAAGCCGAGGCCGAAAGGCGUAGGCGAUGGACAGUCUGUUAAUAUUCAGACACUGAUUAAUGAGCGUUUUACUUAAAGAAUUGACGCAGUAAGCUAGGUAUGCGAAGUGUUGGAUGUCUUCGUUCGUGCCUGUACCUUUGGUGUAACAGCCAAAGCGAGGGGAGCGGGGAUCCUGCGCGACAGCAAGGGAGAAGUUACUGAGGCUACACUGCCGAGAAAAUUUUCUUUAAGGAGUGAUUUAAUCAAUCGUACCGUAAUCCGACACAGGUAGAUCACCAUAAAAUGGUAAGGCGCUCGAGAUAACUCUUGUUAAGGAACUCGGCAAUCUAGCCCUGUAACUUCGGGAGAAAGGGUGCCGUUGACAGUGUAGAAAUUUACUUUUGAAGCUGUCAAUGGUCACAGUAAAGUGGCCCGUGUGACUGUUUAGCAAAAACACAUCUCUCUGCAAAGUCGUAAGACGACGUAUAGGGAGUGACACCUGCCCGGUGCUGGAAGGUUAAGGGGAAAGGUUAUCCUUUUAGGAGAAGCUUUGAACCGAAGCCCUAGUAAACGGCGGCCGUAACUAUAACGGUCCUAAGGUAGCGAAAUUCCUUGUGGGGUAAGUUCCCACGCGCACGAAUGGUGUAACAACAUGGGCGCUGUCUCAACGAGAGGCUCGGCGAAAUUGUAGUGGCGGUGAAGAUGCCGUCUACCCGCAGCAAGACGAAAAGACCCCGGAACCUUUACUGUAUUCUGGUAUUGGAUUUU